rnacentral:rRNA from 1 species
CCUACGGGAGGCAGCAGUGAGGAAUAUUGGUCAAUGGGCGGAAGCCUGAACCAGCCAAGUAGCGUGAAGGAUGACUGCCCUAUGGGUUGUAAACUUCUUUUAUAUGGGAAUAAAAUGUUCCACGUGUGGGAUUUUGUAUGUACCAUAUGAAUAAGGCUCGGCUAACUCCGUGCCAGCAGCCGCGGUAAUACGGAGGAUCCGAGCGUUAUCCGGAUUUAUUGGGUUUAAAGGGAGCGUAGGUGGAUUGUUAAGUCAGUUGUGAAAGUUUGCGGCUCAACCGUAAAAUUGCAGUUGAAACUGGCAGUCUUGAGUACAGUAGAGGUGGGCGGAAUUCGUGGUGUAGCGGUGAAAUGCUUAGAUAUCACGAAGAACUCCGAUUGCGAAGGCAGCUCACUGGACUGCAACUGACACUGAGGCUCGAAAGUGUGGGUAUCAAACAGGAUUAGAUACCCCAGUAGUC